rnacentral:rRNA from 1 species
GACGAACGCUGGCGGCGUGCCUAAUACAUGCAAGUCGAACGCAUUUUCUCUCACCGUAGCGUGCUCCCCCGUGAGAAACGGAGUGGCGAACGGGGGAUUAACACCUGGUUAACCUGGCCAUCAUCGGGGGAUAACACUUUAAAACAGGUUCUAAUACCGCAUAAUUCCAUUUACCGCAUGGUGAAUGGGUGGUAGGCGCUUUUGUGGCACUUUUUGAUCGUCUCGCGGUGGUUUAGCUAGUCGGAGGGUUAACGGCGUACCAAGGCUGCGAUGCAUAGCAGACAGGAGAGGGCGAUCGGCCACACUGGGACUGAGACACGGCACAGAGUGAUACAGAAGGCAGCAGUAGGGCAUCUUCGGCAAUGGACGCAAGUCAGACCGAGAAAGGCCGAGGGCGUAAAGAGGGAUUUCGGAUUGUAAAACUCGGUUGUUAGGGAAGAACAAGGAUGAGAGUGGAAAGUUCCUCGAUUGACGGUAACUAAUCAGAAAGCAACGGCUAACUACGUG